GAUGAACGCUAGCGGCAGGCUUAAUACAUGCAAGUCGAGGGGCAGCAUGACUGUAGCAAUACGGUUGAUGGCGACCGGCAAACGGGUGCGGAACACGUACAGAACCUUCCUUCGAGCGGGGAAUAGCCCAGAGAAAUUUGGAUUAAUACCCCAUAGUAUUACGGAGUGGCAUCACUUUGUAAUUAAAGAUUUAUCACUUGAAGAUGGCUGUGCGGCUGAUUAGGUAGUUGGCGGGGUAGCGGCCCACCAAGCCUGCGAUCAGUAACUGGUGUGAGAGCACGACCAGUCACACGGGCACUGAGACACGGGCCCGACUCCUACGGGAGGCAGCAGUAAGGAAUAUUGGUCAAUGGGCGAAAGUCUGAACCAGCCAUGCCGCGUGGAGGAUGAAGGUCCUCUGGAUUGUAAACUUCUUUUAUAUGGGACGAAAAAAGGCUUCUCUAGGUCGUCUGACGGUACCAUAUGAAUAAGCACCGGCUAACUCCGUGCCAGCCGCCGCCGUAAUAC
rnacentral:rRNA from 1 species